CCAAUCCCCGCCUCCUCUCCUUCUCCUCAAUCCGUCGCCUCUCUCCUAAGCCGCCGCCCUCUCUCCUUCUCCCCCGUCUUCGGCCCCGCCCUCGCCAUCUCCCGACGCUCCGCCAAGUGGAGAACCAGGAAGGAGGAGGGACGUGAAGUGGAGAAGAGGGGGUGCGAUGGAGAAGGAGCCAAGCCCGCAGGAGAGCACGGAGCGCCGGCGCGCCCUGCCAGCCGCGGCUGCUCGCGGAGCUCCGGCAUGUGCUGCACCAUGGAGGCGCUCGUGGAGGUGCUCUCGCCUUCGGAACCACCUCGAUCCGCAUCUGGAACCAUCCUACUCGUCUCCAACUUUUCCAGCUCACCGAUGAGGACCUCGUCUCGGCCUCCUACCAGCCCCAUCCGUUAGAGCACAACGCCGCCUUCUGCCUCCCCAUAGAGUGGAAGAUUUUUGGAAUGGUGCGGACAGGUUGAGAGCAAUAGAUGUUUUUUAAGUCCUAGAUUGUUACUACCGAGAAUGGAAUUCAAGAAGAGAUACUUUUGGUGUUGUCUUAUUACCUCUCGUAUCUGAUAGAUAACACAAAGUUAUCGGUUUAGUUGGAAAAAGAAAAAGUCCAGAUCAAUUGUGAGGAUAUGAUCAUUGGCAUACUUACCCCCUGAUGAUGCCUCAUUUCUUCAGAAUUUGAGGUUGUUCUUAAUAUGCCAGAAGUAUGAGUGGAUUGACUUUUCUUGAUGUGUAUUUUAUACAACGAGCAACUACCUUGCGCUGUCUUUCAUCCGCCAACAAUCCCAUGACCCUGCAUCAGGACAAUUUGAUUUUGGGAGGACAAAGGUCAGACAAGGAUGAGAAUGGGAUACCAGAUUACAACGAUGGAGGCUCGGACAUGGAUCUGCUCAUGCUCUCAGCGGGAAUACUGGAUGUUCUCGAAGCUUUGCCAUACACACGUGGUACUUUUGGCACUUGCGUGGGCUCCAGUUUGUGUCAAUGCAAUUGCAUCUGUGAGCGGCUUAUGGUGAUCAGGCUUGGUUAUUGGCCUACAUGAACCGUGUGCUAUAAUGCACCAAUGCUGCUUUCGGAUGACGACGACAAUGCCAAACGCACCAUCACCUGAGGUCUAUGCGAUUGGCGGGGAUGGAACCAUGAGAGGAGCAGUGGCGAUAUUCGAAGAGUUUAAACGGCAUGGUUGGAGGAUAUCCAUUACAUGGAUCCCAAAAACUGUGGACAUCGGCAUGAUAGACAGGUCGUUUGUGUUUCAAACUGCAGUGGAGAUUACUCAGCAUGCAAUCAAUGCGGAACAUGUGGAGGCUGUGAGCGCUGUGAAUGGCAUUGGUCUUGUCAAACUUACGGGAAGGAGCACAGGACACAUUACUCUUCAUGCCACCCUGAGCAGCCGAGAUGUUGACUGCUGUGAAUCUUGAGAUUGAUUUCCACGUUGAAGGGAAGGGAAGCCUGUUUGAGUUCCUGUAUGAAAGGAUAAAGAAGAAGGGGCAUGUUGUGGUCGUUGUUGCUGAAGGCGCUGGUCAGGAGUUAAUACCCCAGACUGAUGACUCAACAGAGUUAACUUAAUCUGAACCUCCUCUGUUUCUGCUAUAUAUCUCUAUUUUUCUGAACUUAACAACCGAACAGUAUUAUAUAUUAGAUCAGCACACAAGUGAACUAGAAAUCAUUUUGUUCAGAUUGUUGGUACCCUCAGUGGAAAAUUAUUCCUUAUUGGUUGGGGAUUUGGAGACGUAGUAUCUGGUUGAUGAAGGAUUUUUAUCUCCUAAGCUCCACACAUUCUCUUCCAUCUAACACAACCGGCACGGUCAAGUGGUGUAGUAGUUGACGGUCGACAGCUAAAAUCAAGGCACCGCCUUAAUUUAGGCGGAAAGACCACAGCUCUUCCAUCUACACCAGAAGGAUUGGGAAAAUAUUAAAUUUGGUGUUGAAGAGGUGUUGAUUUCUAUGAUGUUCCGUUCGUGAAGGAUGCCAAAUUGCCAAUGUUAUUCAUGAACUCAAGGACUUCCGGAAAAGUGCUAAUGUGGAUAUACAUUUCAUUCCUGAAAUCAAGAGGGCUAAUUCAACUCCAAACCUGUGGUCAAUUAUUGCUGCUUCGGAUGGGCCAAGAUCAGGCAAGAGGACGAUGUUCUGGUUGUUUCGACAGAAAAUCAGCUCAAAGACUGAAGCCCCUAUCCCAGUGUUAAAAACCUCAAUCAACCGUAGCUAAAGCUGGAAUCAAGUAGAGCAGUGGCUACUCCGAAAACUUUGUUCUGAUCACUUCCAGCGGAGUUUUAAAAUCAAAACGGGGCAAUUCUCUACUGUGACAAAGUGAAGAGAAAACUGAUGCAUCAAACUAAUACAGAAAUUCAGUUCAUAUGAAGCAGAAGAAAGGCAUACAAUACCUUACAUUGACAGUGAUUGUUAGCCCAUUGUGGUACUUCAAAUCUGAUAAAGAAUAUAUUUCAUGACUGAGACAUGACAUUUGGAGAAUCUCAGUUCUAAUAUCUACAUGAAUCAACUUUUAUUUUGUCAUGCUACUGAAUGUUCUGAUAUGGGACUAUCUAUUCUGUGUAUCUCUUAUAAGUAAUAAUGAAAUGAUCUAUAUGUAAAGUUUUCCUAUUUUGAUUAUAUUAUGUUGUCGAUGAUGCAUGGUUCUUGAAUUUGGAGAUUAACAUUUAGGCUUUUGAUAUUUUGAACCUUUUUGCUUUGUACUAAACUUGAUGCAAACCAGUUUGUCUUAUCUGGCACUGCCA